rnacentral:ncRNA from 1 species
AUCUUCAGGGCGGGGUGUGAUUCCCCACCGGCGGUAAAGCCCGCGAGCCGAAAGGCAUGAUUCGGUGAAAUUCCGAGGCCGACAGUAUAGUCUGGAUGGAAGAAGAU